ACACCAUAUGGUAGCUGUCGUUGAAGCUAUCAAAUUAAUACUACUUUUCAAGGCAACUUCCAGGUUGAUUUGAUAGAAUUCUCUCGGAUUAGCUCUGGUCAUGCAUUAAGAAUCUGCUUGAAGCUGUUUCUCUGUUUUUGACUUCUUUUUGUUCUUCCGUUCUCGCUUAAGAAAAAGAUUUCAAAUGAGAUAUGAGAAAUACUUUGUUUGGGUCCACUCCCAGGAAAGAGAGGUGCGUCACAAUGGACAACUUAAGUACAAAGUAUUUCCUAGCCAGAGUAUAUUCAAACUAGCUUUAAGUGUUUCUCAAGAGAAAUUCUUAAUUAAAGCAAGAACAAAGAGUUUUUUCUGAAGAAUAACUAAAUGCUACAAAAUAACUCAAACUAAAUUAAAUGUAUAUGCGUUAGGAAAAAAAAUAAAAAAAAUGAAAAUUAAAAAAAAAAAUAAAAAUAAAAAUGAGAAUCAAAAUAUUCAAAAUACUAACCGUAGUUCCCCAGCAACGACGCCAAAUUUGAUAAGUUGUCAUUGAAGCUAUCAAAUUAAUACUACUUUUCAAGGCAACUUCAGUAUUGCCUAAUAGUAUUCAAGAAAGUAGAUAGGGCUAAAGUAACCCUAAGUCGUCUCCCAACGAACACGGAAUUGCUUUCGAAUAUCUGAAACUUAUGUAUGCAGUGAUUGGCCGUCGCGGCGUCUUGCGGCAUUGACGGCGGCGACUAGGGAAGAGGAUUAGGGUUUCCGAAUUGGGAAUUAGGGUUUUUGUUGGAGAUGGUGAUGACGUGGCAAGAGGGGCUAGGUGGCAUGUUCUGAGUGGUUUAUUUGGUGAGUGCAGGGAUUAGUGAUGUGGCAUCAUCUAGAUGGUUGGAUCUAUUAUUUGUGGACUGCCAUGUGGCACCAUCUUAAGCAAUCUGACUUAGUUAGUGAUAGGAGGGGUAUGGGUAGGAAAAUUUAGGAGGUGUAGGAGAAAAGGUUUAGUGUUUGGGCUUGGUUGUUGGCCUGGUUUAAAACUGGGGGUGCAUGUAGGGAAAUCUGGGGGUGCAUGUAGGGAAAUCUGGGGGUGCAAGGGUAAAAACUGUCUGUUUGGCCCAUCUGUAUAUUAUUUAUCAAAUAAAAUCUGAUUUUGGGCUUUAAAUUACAAUUUGGACCAAUAAAACUCUAACCUCAGCUGCACAAAUAAAUAUUAGAACAUCCAAGAAUAAUUUAUGCAAUUAAAAUCACUUUUUAAGCCCUUUUUAUUUCCAAACACGCUAAAUCAAAUAAUCACAAAUCCUCUAUAAAUCAAUCAUUUAAGCACAAAUAUGCUAUCAAAAUUUUAAUUUUAAAGCAUAAAUGUGGACAUAAAUAUGCACUCAUCAGUAGGGGUGUGUCACUGGCCUUGCAUUUAAGCAUAUGUUGCAUGAUGUGAUGAGGCCAAUUGAGAGCUACAUUAUUUUUAAUCAGCCAUAUCAUGAAGAUAUCCUCUUGCAAUAACUUUGCAAAAUUUGCAGGUCGUGGAGUCAGCAUGUGCAUAAUAACAUAAUGCAGAAG
rnacentral:lncRNA from 1 species